rnacentral:misc_RNA from 1 species
AGUAGUGUAUACAGCACGGGGCAGUAACCGCUCUACUGACGUCAACAACCUGUGGCCGACACAACACAACCAGAACUACCUACGUGUCAUAUCCUUCUCUUGUGUUUUUAGCUGUCAUUUCAGAGAACUGCUAGAGAGUUGAUCAUCAUGGGAACUGAAAAAAAUGUGCAAGGUAAUACUGCCCUGAAAUAUGUGAGUCUUGUGACAUUAACAGUGCAGAACUCUGCUGUGGCUCUCAGCAUGCGUUAUGCUCGCACUCGCCCCGGAGAUAUGUUUAUUGCUUCUUCUGCUGUUGUGGUGGCAGAGUUUGUGAAGCUGUUGGCAUCACUUCUCUUGGUAUACAAACAAGAGGGUUCCAUACAGCACUGGUUUAUGACAUUAAACACCCAGAUUUGGCAACAGAAGAUUGAUACACUGAAGGUCUGUGUCCCUUCAUUCAUCUACCUCAUCCAGAAUAAUUUGCUCUACGUGUCUGCAUCUAACCUGGAUGCUGCUACAUACCAAGUUACCUAUCAGAUGAAGAUUUUGACAACUGCCAUGUUUGCUGUGUUGAUUCUACAUAAACAGCUUCGUGGCACUCAGUGGUUGUCACUCUUACUUCUUACAUUUGGUGUUGCACUGGUUCAGCUGUCUUCAGUUGACAAAGGAGUCACAGCAGCAAAUAUUGGACAGAACCGUCUCCUUGGCUUUGUUGCUGCUGUCUCUGCUUGCUGUUGUUCCGGUUUUGCUGGCAUUUACUUUGAAAAAAUUUUAAAAGGGUCAGAUGUUUCAGUUUGGGUCAGAAAUGUACAGCUGUCAUUUCUCUCAGUACCAUUAGGUGUAAUGACUUCAUAUGCAAAUGAUUAUGCAGCCAUCACAGAUAAGGGAUUCUUUUAUGGCUAUGAUGCCUAUGUAUGCUAUCUUGUGGUCCUAAAUGCAGUUGGAGGAUUGCUGGUAGCCAUGGUAGUUAAAUAUGCAGAUAAUAUCCUCAAAGGUUUUGCAACAUCAUUAGCCAUUGUCAUUUCCACUGUUGCUUCAGUGUUUCUUUUUGAUUUUGUAAUAACAUUCCAGUUUGCAAUUGGCACGACCUUGGUGAUUGGCACAAUCUUCCUGUACAGCCACGAACCCAAGAAACCAGCAUCCAACCCCAUGAGUGGGAACUGGGCAUUGCAUGUAGGACUUCCAAGCACCCUCUUAGCAGAUAAGGAAGCUGGACAACACAGAAGGUGGAAGGAGUUAACUUUACUGUAUUCCAGCAUAUUGUUGACAAAAUUAAUAUUUACAGUUCAACACCUUGCAUAACAAUUUUGACAACAGGAAACCAUAUAUUUACCAGUUACAGUGAGAGGGGGAAAAUAGAUACUACUGUACCUCUAUACUCUUACCAUCUACAGUGAAAAGAUGAAGGAGAUGUAGAUGAAUGACUGCACUACCAGAAUGCAAGUGGAUUGUAUAAUAUGCACGCAGACUUGUAUAUUAUUGUUAUUCGGUAUACUGUAUUGUAAAAUAUAUUUUUGUAGCCCAGCACAGAUGAUAAUGUAAAUGGUUACUGAACUAUAUAUAUUGACGUCUGAUUGUACAGUACUUCAGUUAGUGUUUCAUAUACAGUAUUAGAAUACUAGUUUCUUUGUUUUCCCCUUUUUAAGUGUUCCAAAGUGUUUUUUGUUAUGAAAUUUCAUUGAAGGUGAUGAGAAUAUGUUUUAAAGUGUUUGUGGGAACCUCUUCCUGUUGUUUUCUACCCUUUGUUUGCAUCGUUUCCAUUAUGACAUUCUUCAUUUUUCUGUGGGUUUUGUUUCCUCUGAUUUUCACCACGCACGUGGCAAUAUAGAUAAAAACAGUAGAUAGGGAACUAUAGAAGUUGCUCAGUAUUCCUUAAACUAAUUGCAAUAUCCAUGAGCAGAAAUCUUUCGGGUGAAAGUACAGUAGGGUGCACUGGACUUGUGCUGUGAUAACUAACAAUGGUUUUCAAUAAUGACCAAUAAAGUGUUAUAUUUGU